rnacentral:misc_RNA from 1 species
UUGUGAGUAUUGGUUAACUCGCUCAGACGGGCACGGUGACGGAAUUUGGGGUUUGGGGCCUCUGGCGAGCGCGCACCGGCCGGGAGGCCCGUGGUCGCGGGGCGAGCGGCCCGCCAAAGCAACAGGUAUAAGAACAACAGGGUGGGAGAGCGGCCCCGGGGGCGCGGACUCGGUAAUGAUCCUUCCGCAGGUUCACCUACGGAAA